rfam:Acyrthosiphon pisum strain LSR1 Contig32055, whole genome shotgun sequence.
GACGCUGUGGCUUAGUUGGUUAAAGCGCCUGUCUAGUAAACAGGAGAUUGAGAGUUCGAAUCUCUACAGUGCCU